rnacentral:RNase_P_RNA from 1 species
GUAGGACAAAUGAUCGCGGCCCGGCAUUGCCGGGGUGAGGAAAGUCCGGGCUUCACAGGGCAGGAUGCCGGAUAACGUCCGGUAGAGGCGACUCUAAGGAUAGUGCAACAGAAAUAUACCGCCCCAUGUCUUAGACAUGGAGUAAGGUUGGAAGGGCAGUGUAAGAGACUACCGCCUCUCUGGUAACAGGGAGGGCAUAUGUAAACCCCAUCCGAAGCAAGACCGAACAAAAGCGUUGACGUGGCCCGCCAGCUUUAGGUAGGUUGCUUGAGGUGACUGGUAACAGUCAUCCUAGAUAGAUGAUCAUUCCGGCUGUGUUUUCACAGCUUAGACAUAACCCGGCUUAUCGACCUGCUUA